UUGCUGAGCUGCGAAGAAAAAUUGUUUUGA
rnacentral:piRNA from 1 species